UCCUACCACACCAACUGGUUUCCAGCUGUGCCUUUGUAAGUGUUCACUGAGGCCUGGAGCCUUGGCAUGAGCUAGCACCUAGUCUGCCAGCAUC